AAGUCCAAACCCAAGGGAAAUUGGGUCAUUGUCCAUCGAAUUAUGAACUGUUCAAGCAUACACAUACCAAACAACACGAUGGGCAAACAUUCGUAGCUGAAAAAGCCAAACAAAUUCAUGAACAAGUUGAAUCGCAACGUGAGAUGUUGGCA